CGGUAGCAUCCACCGUCCUCCCCAACAGACACCAGGAUAACGACAAAACGCCUUCAUCAUGACCCGACGCCUACGAGUGCCGAAGGAGCUAUCUGUAGGGAGCAACGACAGUUGGCACACGGCCGCCUCCCCCUCCGGCAUGCACGCCGGCGCUCGCCAGAGGCCGGCGGAGGCGUCGGGCGUCUAGGAACUUGCUCCUCCUUCCUGCCGUAUUUUUUACCAUACUACG
rnacentral:lncRNA from 1 species